rnacentral:rRNA from 1 species
GACGAACGCUGGCGGCGCGCCUAACACAUGCAAGUCGAACGGGCGGGUGGAGGUUUACUUUCUCAAGCGAGUGGCGCACGGGUGAGUAACGCGUGAGGAACAUGCCUCUAAGAGGGGGACAACAGUUGGAAAAGCCUGCUAAUACCGCAUAAGCUAAAGACACGGCAUCGGGUAGAGGGAAAAGGAGCAAUCCGCUUUGAGAUGGCGUCGCGUCCGCUUAGCUUGUUGGGGAGGUAAUGGCACACCAAGGCGACGAUCGGUACACGGACACUGAGGCUGAGCCGCCACAUUGGGACUGGGACACGGCCCGGACUCCUACGCGAGGCAGCAGAGCGGAAUGUUGCAACAUCGGGGAAACCCUGAUGCACCGCCGACGCUUGGACGAUGUAGUUCUUCGGAUUGUAAACUCCUGUUGUCGAGGAAGAUAAUGACGGUACUCAACAAGAAAGUGACGGCUAACUACGUG